rnacentral:misc_RNA from 1 species
AACGCACCUUGCGCCCUCUGGCAUUCCGGAGGGCAUGCCUGUUUGAGCAUCAUGACGACCACAUCCCCCACCCCCCCGGGGGCGGGAGGAGAUGAGCGCUUCCGGGGCCACGGCGGCCAUUCGCCGUGCCCGGGUCGCUUGAAAGGGAGCGCACCAGCGGCAGCGCAGCAGCCCGUUCUAACGGCGGCCCCACCCGGCGUGAUUACGAUUUGGCCCGGUUCUCCGGAACCCGGGGCCGCUUCGACUUUCGCCUGCGCCGGCCGCCCAGGGACCUGCGAGCCCCAGCUGGGCCCCAAUCGCCGGGAGGGGCGAGGGUUGAAUUGAAACGCAACCCCUCCCUCGCGGCGAACCCUUGCGGGAGGAGCCCCCCUCGCGGGGCCCGCCCCCAAGCACCCUUGAUCUCAAAUCAGGUAGGGUUACCCGCUGAACUUAA